GCAAAGUUAUAUGCGUUAAAUGUAUUGUAUUCGUCUGAUUGUUCGGUAGCUUGUUCAUUCCCUGAGUUUGUUCGAAUGAAACUACCGAACAGUCAGACCUCCCCUGUGUGAAGUGUGCCUUCAAUUACCCGUUGCAACAUUGUUGGUAAUUGACAAGCUGAGUAGCCGUCCUUUGUUCUCGGGGUUGGCUGCCAUUCGGGAAACGAACACGUGGCGGCGGCCAUUUUAAAACUCCCGAACAGCGGUGUUUUGCCGUCGAGUGUCUAGAACUCAAAUCGGACACUCGACUUGGCGAACACCGCUGAGACCUCCACAAGCCCGGUCCGUUCGGUUCCAAACUACCGAACGGCCCCUCGUUCGGUAGAUAGAAACAACCGAACGAGGGGAUUCAGGCGAACCCUCCCUAGUCUCUGUAACUGGAGGCUUUCGAGUAGUUUGUUCCCUUACUCCAGGACCGACCACAGGGCCCCAUCGCAUGGAACCCCACUCGGCUGUUCUUUCCAGCGCGGUCGGUCAUUUUAUUCCCUCCAUAAAUUUCCCGAACCCCUGGUCUGAUCUGGGUGAUUUUUGGAUAUGUUGUUCACUCAGAUCAGGGCUACCAGGGGAUGUAUAAUUUAAACAGGUAUCCCUAGGUUUAGGGGUACAUCCAGAAACGGGGGGAAUUGGUGUCCUGGAUAAGGGGAUUAUGAUGCAGUCUGAGGGGAGGAGAUGUGUGGGAGGUUACUAGAACAGGAUUGGCUACUGUACUGAUUAAUGGAAAUCCCUCCCUUGCAUGGGAGCAGGCUUUAUAAGGCCACUGUCUGAAUAAAUCUUUAGUUCUGCUCCUGAUACUGUGUGUCAUCCAGUUAUUGGGAUUGCUGUUGGGAUACUGAUGUGAUACUUUGCCUGCUGGAUUUAUAAUUGCUUGUUCCUGAGCCUCCCUGGGAUCCAAAGUGGAGAUAGGCUGUGUAAUACCAGCUCUUCGCUACAAUAAUAUAGUAAAAAUUG